rnacentral:misc_RNA from 1 species
GGGACGCAGGGAUGGCGGGAGGGCAGCGGACUCUACCGACUGGCUUUCUUGGAGGGGGCACUCAGGCUGGAGCCCUUCCCUAGGGCAUCCUUGUAGUCGGUGGUGGUGCUCCGGCUCCGGCUUUCCCCGCCGCGGACACUGCACACUCCAGAGAUGCAGCUGCCGCUGUUGGCCACGUAGCCUCCGCUGACCGAGCUGGGCCGGAAGCCAUAGCCGCCGCUGCCGCUGGUGCUGCUGAUGAUGGAGAUGCUGACAGGGGAGGGAAAUUCUCCUGACAUCCUGCACUCCUCACUCUCCAGC